UNUAUGUAUGUAGCAGGUGUUUGCCUGGUCC
rnacentral:piRNA from 1 species